UGCAAGUCGAACGAUGAUGCCCAGCUUGCUGGGUUGAUUAGUGGCGAACGGGUGAGUAACACGUGAGUAACCUGCCCCUGACUCUGGGAUAAGCGUUGGAAACGACGUCUAAUACUGGAUAUGAUCGCCGGCCGCAUGGUCUGGUGGUGGAAAGAUUUUUUGGUUGGGGAUGGACUCGCGGCCUAUCAGCUUGUUGGUGAGGUAAUGGCUCACCAAGGCGACGACGGGUAGCCGGCCUGAGAGGGUGACCGGCCACACUGGGACUGAGACACGGCCCAGACUCCUACGGGAGGCAGCAGUGGGGAAUAUUGCACAAUGGGCGAAAGCCUGAUGCAGCAACGCCGCGUGAGGGAUGACGGCCUUCGGGUUGUAAACCUCUUUUAGUAGGGAAGAAGCGAAAGUGACGGUACCUGCAGAAAAAGCACCGGCUAACUACGUGCCAGCAGCCGCGGUAAUACGUAGGGUGCAAGCGUUGUCCGGAAUUAUUGGGCGUAAAGAGCUCGUAGGCGGUUUGUCGCGUCUGCUGUGAAAUCCCGAGGCUCAACCUCGGGCUUGCAGUGGGUACGGGCAGACUAGAGUGCGGUAGGGGAGAUUGGAAUUCCUGGUGUAGCGGUGGAAUGCGCAGAUAUCAGGAGGAACACCGAUGGCGAAGGCAGAUCUCUGGGCCGUAACUGACGCUGAGGAGCGAAAGCAUGGGGAGCGAACAGGAUUAGAUACCCUGGUAGUCCAUGCCGUAAACGUUGGGCGCUAGAUGUAGGGACCUUUCCACGGUUUCUGUGUCGUAGCUAACGCAUUAAGCGCCCCGCCUGGGGAGUACGGCCGCAAGGCUAAAACUCAAAGGAAUUGACGGGGGCCCGCACAAGCGGCGGAGCAUGCGGAUUAAUUCGAUGCAACGCGAAGAACCUUACCAAGGCUUGACAUACACCGGAAACGGCCAGAGAUGGUCGCCCCCUUGUGGUCGGUGUACAGGUGGUGCAUGG
rnacentral:rRNA from 1 species